AAAAAGAUAAGCUAAAUCACUAAGCUAAUAGGUUCAUACCCUGUAUAUGAAUAUUAAUUCUCUUUUUA
rnacentral:tRNA from 1 species